GGGAAAUGGAUUUAUCGUGCCCGUUUUCUCCUACCGGUACUUUGCUGUACAUCCACUGUUUGUGGUUUAAACUUUCGAUUCACCCAUUUGUCCCGUGAUUCCUAUCUAUCACCUUUCGUCCCCAAGGGGUCCCUUCCUCUGGAUUUCCCUUGGUCGCAUGGGGUCUCUUACUGCUGACCUUGUACCUGUGCUUGGCCUGGCUGAGGGAUUUUAUAGAGUCGGAGUAUUCUCCUACUUCUCAUGACACUAGGGUCAGACUCCAUUCCUAAUCUCCCCGGACCUGUUUACUUCUUCCCACCUAUUUUUUGCUUCCUCAAACCUGUGUGCAUUGCCUACAUUUUUCCUGGCCACUAGUUCAUAUUGUAGGUUGAUGGUGAUCUGCCUUUUUAGGGCUUGUUUCGUCGGUGCGGAG